rnacentral:rRNA from 1 species
AGCGAACGCUGGCGGCAGGCUUAACACAUGCAAGUCGAACGGGCAUAGCAAUAUGUCAGUGGCAGACGGGUGAGUAACGCGUGGGAACGUACCUUUUGGUUCGGAACAACACAGGGAAACUUGUGCUAAUACCGGAUAAGCCCUUACGGGGAAAGAUUUAUCGCCGAAAGAUCGGCCCGCGUCUGAUUAGCUAGUUGGUAGGGUAAUGGCCUACCAAGGCGACGAUCAGUAGCUGGUCUGAGAGGAUUAUCAGCCACAUUGGGACUGAGACACGGCCCAAACUCCUACGGGAGGCAGCAGUGGGGAAUAUUGGGCAAUGGGCGAAAGCCUGAUCCAGCCAUGCCGCGUGAGUGAUGAAGGCCCUAGGGUUGUAAAGCUCUUUUGUGCGGGAAGAUAAUGACGGUACCGCAAGAAUAAGCCCCGGCUAACUUCGUG